rnacentral:pre_miRNA from 1 species
UAAGGAGCACAGCCUUCUGUCUAAGACAACAAGAAGCAUCUGAAAGGCUUGAGGUUGUGGAAUGAAC